GAAAGAGAACCUGAAACCCUGUGUUUACAAGCUGUGGAAGAACGAGAAAUGUUCAACCGCGUACUUUUUGUAGAACGGUCCGGCGAGUUACGCUGGCAGGCGAGGUUAAGGACUUUAGGUCCGGAGCCGAAGGGAAACCAAGUCUUAAGAGGGCGGUCAUAGUCUGUCAGAGUAGACCCGAAACCGGGUGAUCUAUCCAUGUCCAGGUUGAAGUUGCCGUAAAAGGCAAU
rnacentral:rRNA from 1 species